AACGAACGCUGGCGGCAGGCCUAACACAUGCAAGUCGAACGAGAUCAUAGGGACUAGUGGCGCACGGGUGUGUAAAGCGUGGGAAGAUGCCCCUAGGUACGGAAUACCACCGGGACAUGGGGGAUAAUGCAGGAUAAUUUCUUCGGAGGCAAUAUUUAUCGCCAUGGGAUGAGCCCGCGUUGGCUUAGAUUGUUGGUAGGGUAAUAGCCUAUCAAGGCGACGCUCCAUAGCUGGUUAGAGAGGAUGAGCAGCCACACUGAGACGAAGACACGGCCCGGACUCCUACGGGAGGGAGGAGUGGGUGAUCUUGGACUAUGGGGUGAAUCCAGAUCGAGCUAGGCCUGUUGAGUGAUGAUGUUCGGAGGGAAGUAAAGCUCUUUCAGCCGGGAAGAUAAUGACGGUACCAACAGAAUAAGCCCCGGCUAACUCCGUG
rnacentral:rRNA from 1 species